CUCUGUCUCCGUGACGGGACCGACUUCUGAGUUCUUUCUGGCUACCUAUCAGUGCCUUUCUUCGAAGUUGUAAUGUGGACUCGAAUGACGAAUGUUCUCUACUCAUGAAAGCUGGUUUCCAUGGAAAAUUGGCGAUGAAACGAACCUAAGUAUCAAGUUUUCCUUUGCAAAUAAUUAUCAAGAAGUUGCAAGGAGAUUUUUGUGGAAUCAACGGAGAUGCCAUAUUUGUGCCCUAGUUUCAUUUCAAGGUACUUGGAAACGACUGAGAAAAAAAGAAAGAGAUCAUUUUUACGGAAUGGAAGCUUGUUAUUGAAGGAGUUGAUUGCUUCCUCUGACGGAAAAUAUAACCCCUUCCGCAUUUAUUCAGAAGAAGAGCUCAAGAAGGCAACCAACAACUAUGAUCCUAAUUGCAUUUUCCAUAUCAAUACCUUUGGAAAGUGGUACAAGGGUACUAUUGAAGGUCGAGUUGUUCCCGUAUGCAAGUCAUCUUGGUUGCCUGUCCAUGUCAAGCAUCUAACAGGCAAAUGGAGCGAAAUGUUGGUGAAUAAUUGGCGCAAUGAUGCAGUUACCGAUGUCUCUAUUUCGGCAAUGUUGAGUGGUCACAAGAAUGUUUUGAAGCUCUUAGGAUGCUGUCUCGAGACAACUGUUCCAAUGGUCGUGUAUGAAUAUGCAGGGAAUAGAACUCUGUGUGAUCGAAUUCACACCACCGCUGGAAGUGAUUCACAACCAUUGCCAUGGAAAAGUAGGUUAGAGAUUGCAAGGGAGAUAGCUCAUGCAAUUGCAUAUCUCCACACUGCAUUUGCAAAGCCUAUCAUUCAUAGAAAAAUAAGGCCCUCUAAUAUUUUACUGGACCAAAAUGAUGUUCCAAAACUGUUGGAUUUUUCGUCUUCAAUGACAAUCCGUGAGGGUGAGACAGUCAAGGUAGAUACAUAUGCAGGAAGCUUGGGCUAUAUGUCAGCAGAUAUUGGAUUUGAAGUAAAUGAGAAAGUUGAUGUACAUAACUUUGGUUCACUUUUACUUGAGCUUCUAACAGGAAAGGAUCCUCGAGAAAUACAUGAAUUGGCUAUGGGAAAGGAUUAUAGUUUUCCCUAUUGUGAGGAUGGUCUUCAUUGCUUAGCACAUCACACUGAAAAUUAUUUAUCAUGCGAUUCCAUUGAAGAUAUUGUGGACUCUACAUUCUUUCUAACAGAGGGAGGAGGAUCCGAGCAACAGCAGCAGCUGCGUCAAUGGGAAGCGGUGAAAGAACUCGCUCUAAAAUGCUGGGCCAAUCCUAAGGAGGAGAGACCAACCAUGGUAGAAGUCACCAAACAACUCAGGCAAAUUGAAUUAAGCUAAUAUCCGACGUGCAGGUGAUGUUCAUAUAUGACAAGUCACUUGGUUUUUCUUAUACUUAAUGCAUCUAUAAACGUAAGUCCAAAAGACAAAAGUAUAUCUCUAAUUUGAUUUGGGUUUGUACAAGAAUAGACAAAGUAUAUAAUCUUAUUUAAUUUGGGUUUAUACGAGACAAAGUAUAAUCUUCCAUCCA